rnacentral:rRNA from 1 species
AGCGAACGCUGGCGGCAGGCCUAACACAUGCAAGUCGAACGGACCCUUCGGGGUUAGUGGCGGACGGGUGAGUAACACGUGGGAACGUGCCUUUAGGUUCGGAAUAGCUCCUGGAAACGGGUGGUAAUGCCGAAUGUGCCCUUCGGGGGAAAGAUUUAUCGCCUUUAGAGCGGCCCGCGUCUGAUUAGCUAGUUGGUGGUGUAACGGACCACCAAGGCGACGAUCAGUAGCUGGUCUGAGAGGAUGAUCAGCCACAUUGGGACUGAGACACGGCCCAAACUCCUACGGGAGGCAGCAGUGGGAAAUCUUGCGCAAUGGGCGAAAGCCUGACGCAGCCAUGCCGCGUGAAUGAUGAAGGUCUUAGGAUUGUAAAAUUCUUUCACCGGGGACGAUAAUGACGGUACCCGGGGAAGAAGCCCCGGCUAACUUCGUGCCAGCCGCCGCCGUAAGAC